CACGUAGGGUGCGAGCGUUGUCCGGAAUUAUUGGGCGUAAAGAGCUCGUAGGCGGUGUGUCGCGUCGGCCGUGAAAACCUGCAGCUUAACUGUGGGCUUGCGGUCGAUACGGACAUCACUGGAGUUCGGCAGGGGAGACUGGAAUUCCUGGUGUAGCGGUGAAAUGCGCAGAUAUCAGGAAGAACACCUAUGGCGAAGGCAGCUCUCUGGGACGGUACUGACGCUGAGACGCGAAAGCGUGGGGAGCGAACAGG
rnacentral:rRNA from 1 species